GCCUGGGUGGCUUAGUCGGUUAAGCAUCUGACUUCGGCUCUGGUCAUGAUAUCACAAUCUGUGAGUUCGAGCCCACGUCAGGCG
rnacentral:tRNA from 1 species